CAAAUUAGGAUGAUGCAAAAAGAGGACACACCACAGGAAAAAAUUAUCUAUUAUCCCUAUCAUCACAGGAACAAGGAAAUACGUUUCCAACCCACAAUAAUUUCAGAUCACACGGACGUCAAAUUUACUAAUUACACUACUUCAAAAGCCAUAACGUUUUUGCUAAUCUAAAAAUAAUUAAUGAUGAAACACGACAAUGUUAAAAAUAAUUGGAGAAAGUAUUGAAUAUGAAUAUCACAAAAACUUGAAUUGCUUAGGGUCUCUAGGUGGUAAUUAGUAUUUGACAUAGACAGUGAGGUGUGAGUUCUAAAAAGUUCUUUAAUAGAACCUCGUAUGCUGUAACUGACAACGAACGAGGCUGGCAACUCUGUUUGCACAUAUUUGGCGGAGUUCGAAAAUAUCAUUCGCAUUGGUAGUGUUUUUGUUUUCCACCAAGGGGCGAGAUUUUGUUGUUGCUUUAGCUUUUGUUUGCUCGAUUUUUGUUUUUUUCGCAGCAAAGCGAAGCCAUAAUGUUCGAAAUGGUAAAAUUACCGUUGCCGAGCAAGCUCUCUCUCUCUCCCACUCCGAUGCCUCUCUCCCUCUCGCGUUGCAGUUGUUUAAGGGUGUGCGAGGGGGAUGAAAGAUGGUCUCGGCUUGUGUGUGUGCAAUGCAUUUCCCACUAAAAAGCGCAAAUUAUAUUUUGUGCACUCUCCAAACGUUUUUAUGAUCGGCGUUGAUUUAUUUUUGGCUUCCAGCAUGACUUCAUCGCCGCGCGUUUUCUCUCUAAUUUCGGUGUACAAAUUAUGUGUACCUAAAUAUGUACCUUAAUUUUUAACGGUUUCAUCGGGUUUUCAGCUGGAAAAUUAACAUUCCUGUGCGAAAUUCUACACGCACGCCAAAUGCUCUAACCAAUACUAAUUGAUGCGAGGAGUGUCGUCUCUGUGGCAAAAACAUAAAUUCUACAGAUCUUUUCGACGGCUACAGUGUGUACAUGUGAGGUGAACGUAUAGAGAUGAUGGUCUCCGCAUAACAUCACGUCGUUUGACAAUCGCUCACCUGAAUUUCCAUUGGAGU
rnacentral:sRNA from 1 species